GAUGAACGCUGGCGGCGUGCCUAACACAUGCAAGUCGAGCGGAAAUUGAUAGCUUGCUAUCAAUUUUAGCGGCGGACGGGUGAGUAACGCGUGGGUAACCUGCCCUAUACACAUGGAUAACAUACCGAAAGGUAUGCUAAUACAAGAUAAAACAUUGAUAAGGCAUCUUAUUAAUGUCAAAGAUUUAUCGGUAUAGGAUGGGCCCGCGUCCCAUUAGUUAGUUGGUGAGGUAACGGCUCACCAAGACCACGAUGGGUAGCCGACCUGAGAGGGUGAUCGGCCACACUGGAACUGAGACACGGUCCAGACUCCUACGGGAGGCAGCAGUGGGGAAUAUUGCACAAUGGGCGAAAGCCUGAUGCAGCAAUGCCGCGUGAGCGAUGAAGGCCUUCGGGUCGUAAAGCUCUGUCCUCAAGGAAGAAUUUUGACGGUACUUGAGGAGGAAGCCCCGGCUAACUACGUGCCAGCCGCCGCAGUAAAAC
rnacentral:rRNA from 1 species